GAUGUUGUGAUUUUUCCCUACAUGUGGCCUCCUCUUCCAUGGCUGCUUGGAACUCCACACUCUGGGCCUGUUCUGCUCCCCUGACCUGUCUUGCUUCCUGGACCCCAUCUCCUUCUGGAUGGACAACAUCAGAGAUCCUAGGGUUGCUGAGCCUCCAAGUACUGCAUGGUAAGUCUGGUGACUGUGCUAUUUUGUGUUCACUCCUGUGCACAGAAAUAUAGAAAAGAAACAAGUGGCUGCAAGGAGGAAGGUAAGUGCAUGAGGUCGUACCAUUCCUCAUCUACAGGACAGUGUGUCCCUUCAGUCUGGGCUAUGAUAAAGCCUUAGGAGAGAAGAUUUCAGGGAAUCAAGGCCCUACAGGGGCUUUGGUACCUAAGAGGCUGCCUUCCUGAAGGGCAUCCAAAGUCUGCAAGCCACUUGCCCCUGUUACACUGCUCAUGGGCAUUGAGGAGACCCAACAUACUGAGAUGUGAGUGGGAGACAUUUCUAUCCCAGCUGCUGCUUCUGUGGACAGUGAGUCCUCUCUUCCUGACAUAGAAAUUACCAAGCUAAGUCCUGGGUGAUAGGACUGAGGGCUGGAAAACCAGAA
rnacentral:sRNA from 1 species